rnacentral:rRNA from 1 species
UACGAAGGGGGCUAGCGUUGCUCGGAAUCACUGGGCGUAAAGGGUGCGUAGGCGGGUUUUUAAGUCAGGGGUGAAAUCCUGGAGCUCAACUCCAGAACUGCCUUUGAUACUGAAGAUCUUGAGUCCGGGAGAGGUGAGUGGAACUGCGAGUGUAGAGGUGAAAUUCGUAGAUAUUCGCAAGAACACCAGUGGCGAAGGCGGCUCACUGGACCGGUAUUGACGCUGAUGUGCGAAAGCGUGGGGAGCAAACAGGG